UCAGCGCUCCAGGACACGACUACAUUUCUCUUCAAGAUACAGUACCAGAGUACCUGAACAGUCCAUGUCAACAGAUCAAAUGGUUCAUGAAGAGGCAGACCAGCGGGUGAAAAGCUCCUGGAGUUUCAGGGGUACUGUUGAUGCAGUUUGGAGCUUCAUAGAUCCUCCUCUCCAUCCAGAACUGCGAAAUGUGGAAAUCCAGCGCAGACUAACGACUUCUGGCAGCAUCUUCUGGAAACAUUCUGGAGGAUAAUCCUUUGAUGACUGAUCUGGCUUUGAUCACUGACUCACUAACUUAAGUCUAUUUUCUGAGACGGAGAUUUGCUUGUAUCUACUGUAUAUGUUUGUGGUUGCUUAGUUGAUUUCAUCAAAACCCUCUUGAUAAGAUGAUGGGUUUGAUUGAGGAAAAGUUAAAAUCUUUUUUUACAAAUCAUGUCAACAGCAAUCAGCUACAAAAUAAAACAGUCAUCUGUGUUUUGAAUUUUC